GACGAACGCUGGCGGCGUGCUUAACACAUGCAAGUCGAACGGAAAGGCCCUGCUUUUGUGGGGUGCUCGAGUGGCGAACGGGUGAGUAACACGUGAGUAACCUGCCCUUGACUUUGGGAUAACUUCAGGAAACUGGGGCUAAUACCGGAUAGGAGCUCCUGCUGCAUGGUGGGGGUUGGAAAGUUUCGGCGGUUGGGGAUGGAUUCGCGGCUUAUCAGCUUGUUGGUGGGGUAGUGGCUUACCAAGGCUUUGACGGGUAGGCGGCCUGAGAGGGUGACCGGCCACAUUGGGACUGAGAUACGGCCCAGUCUCCUACGGGACGCAGCAGGGGGGAAUAUUGCGCAAUGGGCGGAAGCCUGAUGCAGCAACGCCGCGUGCGGGAUGACGGCCUUCGGGUUGUAAACCGCUUUCGCCUGUGACGAAGCGUGAGUGACGGUAAUGGGUAAAGAAGCACCGGCUAACUACGUG
rnacentral:rRNA from 1 species